CCCAGGACUGGAGUCUGACACCUGUGGUGUAAAGCUUGAGAGACUGCUGUCACAUGCACAGGUGGACCGGUUCCAGCCAUGAAGCCCUAACCUUGCACCACUAGCAGUGGAAUCUUCAAGAGCCAGCUGGCUUUAUUCUGAGGCAAUCAAAACCACUGCAAUUGAUGUCAGAAUGACUGAGCUCCCCAGACAAUCUCAUGGCCUUACCAAAAGAGCCGCCUGCACUCUGUGUCUCUGUCUGCUCCCUCUCCCCUGCAUUCACCCUCCUCCUGGUAUCAAAACCAAUCGUCCCCUCAUUUAGGUAGUUUGUGGACAAUACACCGACUGACCUGCUGAGUGACAGUGAUUUAAAGGAGCCUGAGGUAAACAAUGGACCCGAUGAGUCAUCCACCAUGUG